rnacentral:misc_RNA from 1 species
GAUGAAGAACGCAGCGAAAAGCGAUAAGUAAUGUGAAUUGCAGAAUUCAGUGAAUCAUCGAAUCUUUGAACGCACAUUGCGCCCGUCAGUAUUCUGGCGGGCAUGCCUGUUCGAGCGUCAUUACGCCCCUCAAGUCCCCUGUGGACUUGGUGUUGGGGAUCGGCGAGGCUGGUUUUCCAGCACAGCCGUCCCUUAAAUUAAUUGGCGGUCUCGCCGUGGCCCUCCUCUGCGCAGUAGUAAAACACUCGCAACAGGAGCCCGGCGCGGUCCACUGCCGUAAAACCCCCCAACUUUUUAUAGUUGACCUCGAAUCAGGUAGGACUACCCGCUGAACUUAAGCAUAUCAAUAAGCGGAGGA